ensembl:lncRNA
ACUUCCCCAGGGCACAAUAGUGCUAUUCCUUUACCUGCCCAUGGCUGGGCAUGGGUCAGUGUGCAGAGUGCAGAGUGUACCCCAGCCCUUUGGUACCCUGAAUGGGGCCAGCUAAGGCUGCUCUGCCUCGCCUAGAGCAGCUCUGGCAAAAGCAGGCUGGGAAGGAGUUAGACUAAGGCUGAGAAUGGAAUCUGAUCCAACUGCAGGCUCCUCUUGAAAGUUCUUUUCAUUAAAAAAAUGUCCAGUCCUUUUUGGAGAUUGAUCCCAUUGCACCAGUAGCAGAUCCUAUUAUAGGCAGCGGGAUAAAGAGGAAGAGGCUGCAUUUUUAAAGACAGUAAGUGGGACUCUCCUCAAAGACAACCAAGUAAUUUAACACCUUGCACUGUGCUGCCACAUUUUCAUUUAGCAGCUACGUGAAAAGUCAUCAUAUCCCAUUUUUAGAUGGCCACCUCCCUGUUUGCGCUGAUCUUUAUAGCAAGCAUGCAGAUACCCAUCUAUAUUUAAAGCAGACUCAUUGCAGAACCCUGGAAAUUUCAGGGAGGCAGAGAUCUGGUGAGCACACAAAGUCCUAAACUUCAAGGACCUGCUCCUUGUGGUCGGGUUUUUCUCCCAUCACCUCCUUCCCUGUGUUCGCUGGGGUUGAGUGGCUGCCCAGCAGGGGGGGUAUCUCCAGUGCAUUCCCUACUCAUUUUUUCCCGGUUUGUCACUUGCGGGGACUUUACAGAGUGCCUUUUUAGAUCCACCUGUUGUUUAUUCAGUGAGCCCCACAGAACUUGUUAACGUGUUUUACUUGCAAAGGGAAAGCAGGCAGCCUCUGUACAGCCAGACUGAGCUGUCUGCUCUCCGCCAAGGAAAAAUGCCAGCUUGAAGGAGCAAUUUACCUGACAGACGUCUGAAGAGGAGCAUAGUGAAUCCCCUAAAUUAAACCUUCUCUGCAGCUUCAGGGCAGAAGUUCUAUCCUGUUCCCAUUUUUUUUCCCCCUAUUUCCACUCCAAGUCUGUGCAAAGGAGGAUGGCUCUGAUUUGUUCCUACUUGAUGGGCUUGCCCAUCCCCAACCAAAGUCAGCAUUUGCAAUGUGACAGGAGAGGCUGUCCCAAAAUCAACAGUGAACUGAUGACCCAGAUGUAAACUUGUGACUGCCAAAAGCUCAGGCUCAAGAAUAAGCAUAUUCGAAGUGAACAUUACAUGAAUAUUGCUGGAUACCAAUAAAGAUACU